rnacentral:tRNA from 1 species
GAGUUGGAGCACCUGACUUUUAAUCAGGGUGUCGCAGGUUCGAUUCCUGCAUGGCUCA